CCUACGGGUGGCAGCAGUGGGGAAUAUUGGACAAUGGGGGCAACCCUGAUCCAGCCAUGCCGCGUGUGUGAAGAAGGCCCUCGGGUUGUAAAGCACUUUCAGUGAGGAAGAACGCCUGGUGGUUAAUACCCAUCAGGAAAGACAUCACUCACAGAAGAAGCACCGGCUAACUCCGUGCCAGCAGCCGCGGUAAUACGGAGGGUGCGAGUGUUAAUCGGAAUUACUGGGCGUAAAGCGCGCGUAGGUGGCUUGAUAAGCCGGUUGUGAAAGCCCCGGGCUCAACCUGGGAACGGCAUCCGGAACUGUCAAGCUAGAGUGCAGGAGAGGAAGGUAGAAUUCCCGGUGUAGCGGUGAAAUGCGUAGAGAUCGGGAGGAAUACCAGUGGCGAAGGCGGCCUUCUGGACUGACACUGACACUGAGGUGCGAAAGCGUGGGUAGCAAACAGGAUUAGAUACCCCAGUAGUC
rnacentral:rRNA from 1 species